rnacentral:rRNA from 1 species
ACCCCACUGCUAUCGGGAUAGGACUAAGACAUGCUAGUCGAGCGCGUCAGCCAAAACGACGCGCGGCAUACAGCUCAGUAACACGUGGCUAAUCUGCCCUUGGGACGAGAACAACCCCGGGAAACUGGGGCUAACUCUCGAUAGGUGAAGAACACUGGAAUGUGUCUCCGCCCAAAAAGUUCAAGGUUACGCUCUUUGAAUCGCCCAAGGAUGAGGCCGCGACCGAUCAGGUUGUUGGUGAGGUAAUGGCUCACCAAGCCUUUUACCGGUGCGGGCCGUGAGAGCGGGAGCCCGGAGAUGGGCACUGAGACAAGGGCCCAGGCCCUACGGGGCGCAGCAGUCGCGAAAACUUUGCAAUACACGCAAGUGUGACAGGGCUAUCCCGAGUGCCAUCCGCUGAGGAAGGCUUUUACCCAGUCUAGAACGCUGGGGGAAUAAGGAGAGGGCAAGUCUGGUGUCAGCCGCCGCGGUAAUACCAGCUCUCCGAGUGGUGUGGAUGUUUAUUGGGCCUAAAGCAUCCGUAGCUGGCUAAGUUAGUCCCUUGUUAAAUCCACCGAAUUAAUCGUUGGAUUGCGGGGGAUACUGCUUGGCUAGGGGACGAGAGAGGCAGACGGUAUUUUCGGGGUAGGGGUGAAAUCCUAUAAUCCCGGGAAGACCACCAGUGGCGAAGGCUGUCUGCUAGAACGCGCCCGACGGUGAGGGAUGAAAGCUGGGGGAGCGAACCGGAUUAGAUACCCGGGUAGUCCCAGCUGUAAACGAUGCAGGCUAGGUGUUUGGACGGCCACGUGCCGUUCUAGUGCCGCAGGGAAGCUGUUAAGCCUGCCGCCUGGGGAGUACGAUCGCAAGAUUGAAACUUAAAGGAAU